rnacentral:rRNA from 1 species
CCUACGGGUGGCAGCAGGGAGGAAUAUUGGUCAAGGGGCGCGAGCCUGAACCAGCCAAGUCGCGUGAGGGAAGACGGUCCUAUGGAUUGUAAACCUCUUUUGUCGGGGAGCAAAAGACGCCACGCGUGGCGUUCCGAGAGUACCCGAAGAAAAAGCAUCGGCUAACUACGUGCCAGCAGCCGCGGUAAUACGGAGGAUGCGAGCGUUAUCCGGAUUUAUUGGGUUUAAAGGGUGCGCAGGCGGAAGAUCAAGUCAGCGGGAAAAUUGAGAGGCUCAACCUCUUCGAGCCGUUGAAACUGGUUUUCUUGAGUGAGUGAGAAGUAUGCGGAAUGCGUGGUGUAGCGGUGAAAUGCAUAGAUAUCACGCAGAACUCCGAUUGCGAAGGCAGCAUACCGGUGCUCAACUGACGCUCAUGCACGAAAGUGUGGGUAUCGAACAGGAUUAGAUACCCCUGUAGUC